CCGGCAUCAAUCAUGAAGCGACCGCAUUAAUUGUCUUGCCUCUCGCUGGAAACGACCCCCACUUCCCCGUUCUCCUCUCCGCUCCUCUCCUCUCCUGCCGCACUCCACGGCUGCACGCCUGCACACGUACAAGAGAACCCCAAGCGUCAGGCCCCAAGUCGACUGGGCUCUCCCAUCGGAUCCAAGCCGAAUAUGUCGUCGUCGGUCGGAGGUGGAGGGGGAGGCGGCGCGGCUUUGGCCGGAGGGGACGUCGCUGGCCUUCUGGACAAGGCCAAGGAGCUGGACCAGCUGCGGAAGGAGCAGGACGAUGUGGCCACCGAGAUCAAUAAGAUCCACAAGAAGAUCAUCUCCUCCCCAGAGAUGGUGGAUAAAUCAGUUGAUGCCAUGAUGGCUAGGCUUCGUGGUUUUUAUGUACAAGCAAGAGAACUCUCUGAGAGUGAAGUCAGUGCUUCAUCUGCUUUGGUUGGACUAUUAGAUGGUUUGUUGCAAUCUGGAGUUUCAGCUGCACCAAGAAAAAAGAUAGAAAUCAGUGAACAGAAAAAGAAGAGGAUGAAGUCUGAUACAGAUACAACACGAUUUUCCUCUGCAUCUAUGAGGAGCCAACUUGACCAAGCUGCAAACCUUAAAGGAGAGCAGGUUGCAGCUAGGGUAAAAUCGGAUGAUGAAAAAGACGAGUGGUUUGUGGUGAAGGUCAUACAUUUCGAUAAGGAAACAAAAGAAUUUGAAGUACUGGAUGAGGAGCCUGGUGAUGAUGAAGAGAGUGCCCAAAAGUUUGAGAGGAAAUACAAGUUGCCUAUGUCAUAUAUUAUUCCAUUUCCAAAGAAAGGAGAUCCGUCUAGUGCUCAGGAUUUUGGACAGGGUCGGCAAGUCUUAGCUGUUUAUCCUGGCACAACAGCAUUAUAUAGGGCUACCGUAGCCUCUCAACGUAAGGUGUUCUGUUAUGUACCAUAGAUGGACAAAUAAGGGCUCUUAGCAGUGUUCCCGAUACAAGACAUGGUAGCUGUUACCUCUGUCAAGAUGGAGGAAGUCUGAUGAUUACAAUCUCUUAUUUGAUGAUGACGAAGAGGAUGGGAAUCUACCAGAGAGAGCUGUUCCAUUUUACAGAGUGGUUGCGCUCCCGGAGGGCCAUCGGCAAUGAAAAGCCUCGAUAUGGACAACUGGCUUGCUCUAGCAAAUGAUAGUGUGUACGAAGAUGACAGUUUUCGAGCCUGAUGAUGUCGUAAUCUUAUUUUACCUGCAACCGACUACGCGGUGCAGUUCAUAUGACUCUACUAGUGUACCAUUAUGUAUAUAUCUUGAGUUAGAGUUGGCUUGCAUGCCAUGUACUGUAUUUCAUAGGCUUUGCAAGUGGAAGGUUAUGUAAAUAGAAGUUGAUUGAGCGUUGUUUUAGAACAUAAAGUGGCCCUAUCGGAAUAUAUGUUUGCCUCACUUCACACGUUGUAAAAUACUUUGGUGACAAUCUGAUCAAUUACUCCUGGCUUCAACUA